UACGGAGGGGGCUAGCGUUGUUCGGAAUUACUGGGCGUAAAGCGCACGUAGGCGGUCUUGUAAGUUGAGAGGUGAAAGCCCGGGGCUCAACUCCGGAAUUGCCUUUAAGACUGCAUCGCUAGAAUUGUGGAGAGGUAAGUGGAAUUCCGAGUGUAGAGGUGAAAUUCGUAGAUAGUUCGCAAGAACACCAGUGGCGAAGGCGGCUCACUGGUCCGGUACUGACGCUGAGGUGGCGAAAGCGUGGGGAGCAAACAGG
rnacentral:rRNA from 1 species